GAUGAAGAACGUAGCGAAAUGCGAUACGUAAUGUGAAUUGCAGAAUUCAGUGAAUCAUCGAAUCUUUGAACGCAUAUUGCGCUCUCUGGUAUUCCGGAGAGCAUGCUUGUUUGAGUAUCAGUAAACACCUCAACUCCCUUUUCUUUUUUGAAAUUGGAGCUGGACUUGAGUGAUCCCAACGCUUUCUUCCAAGAAAGUGGCGGGUUGCUUGAAAUGCAGGUGCAGCUGAACUUUUCUCUGAGCUAUAAGCAUAUCUAUUUAGUCUGCCUAAAAAACAGAUUAUUACCUUUGCUGCAGCUAACAUAAAGGAGACUAGUUCUUGUGCUGACUGAUGCAGGAUUCACAGAGACAGCUUCGGCUGACUUUGUAAACUCGAUCUCAAAUCAAGUAAGACUACCCGCUGAACUUAAGCAUAUCAAAAGCGGGGA
rnacentral:misc_RNA from 1 species